GAUGAACGCUAGCUACAGGCCUAACACAUGCAAGUCGAGGGGCAGCGGGAAGGAAGCUUGCUUUCUUUGCCGGCGACCGGCGCAAGGGUGCGUAACGCGUGAGCGACAUGCCCGUGACCGGGGAUAACCGAUGGAAACGUCGCCUAACCCCCCAUAUGACGAGGGACCGCAUGAUCCCUUGUUGAAAACCGUGGUGGUCACGGAUUGGCUCGCGUCCCAUUAGCUAGUCGGCGGGGUAACGGCCCACCGAGGCGACGAUGGGUAGGGGUUCUGAGAGGAAGGUCCCCCACAAUGGAACUGAGACACGGUCCAUACUCC
rnacentral:rRNA from 1 species